rnacentral:rRNA from 1 species
GCCUAGCCCUAAACCCAAAUAGUUACAUAACAAAACUAUUCGCCAGAGUACUACUCGCAACUGCCUAAAACUCAAAGGACUUGGCGRUGCUUCACAUCCACCUAGAGGAGCCUGUUCUAUAAUCGAUAAACCCCGAUAGACCUUACCAACCCUUGCCAAUUCAGCCUAUAUACCGCCAUCUUCAGCAAACCCUAAAAAGGAACAAUAGUAAGCACAAWCAUAGCACAUAAAAACGUUAGGUCAAGGUGUAGCUUAUGGGUUGGAAAGAAGUGGGCUACAUUUUCUACAUAAGAAUAUCCACCACACGAAAGUUUUUAUGAAACUAAAAACCAAAGGAGGAUUUAGCAGUAAAUCAAGAAUAGAGUGCUUGAUUGAAUAAGGCCAUGAAG